rnacentral:snRNA from 1 species
GUCUGCAGCACGCGCCUAA